rnacentral:rRNA from 1 species
UGUAAGCGUAUACCAAAGUUGUUGCAGUUAAAACGCUCGUAGUCGGACUUUGGCAGUUCCGGAUGUGUGCACGUCGUGUGCGCACUUCGCGGGGAUUGUUUUUGUGGUCUUGCGUAGGAUGAGGCACUUUUAUUAGUGAACGUCCUCACGCAACCACUUUUUACUGUGAGAAAAUCAGAGUGCUCAAAGCAGGCAUUUGCCGUGAAUGUAUUAGCAUGGAAUAAUAGAAUAGGACUUGGUUCUAUUUUGUUGGUUUGUUGGGACUGAGUAAUGAUUAAGAGGGACAGUUGGGGGCAUUUGUAUUUCGGUGCUAGAGGUGAAAUUCUUAGAUUACCGAAAGACAAACUGCUGCGAAAGCGUCUGCCAAGGAUGUUUUCAUUGA